AUGGUCACAUCACAUUGAAACACCGGUUUCCGUACGAACACAAAGGUUAAGCAACGUCGAGCCUGGUCAGUACCUAGAUCGGUGACCGAUUGGGAAUACCAAGUGUUGAA